GUGAUUGUAGUUCAGUUGGUGGAACGCCUGGUUGUGGUCCAGGAGGUCGCGGGUUCGAGUCCCGUCGGUCACC
rnacentral:tRNA from 1 species